rnacentral:rRNA from 1 species
CCUACGGGAGGCAGCAGUAGGGAAUAUUGGACAAUGGGGGCAACCCUGAUCCAGCAAUGCCGCGUGAGUGAUGAAGGCCUUAGGGUUGUAAAGCUCUUUUACCCGAGAUGAUAAUGACAGUAUCGGGAGAAUAAGCUCCGGCUAACUCCGUGCCAGCAGCCGCGGUAAUACGGAGGGAGCUAGCGUUGUUCGGAAUUACUGGGCGUAAAGCGCACGUAGGCGGUUAUUUAAGUCAGAGGUGAAAGCCCGGGGCUCAACCCCGGAACUGCCUUUGAGACUGGAUAACUUGAAUCCAGGAGAGGUGAGUGGAAUUCCGAGUGUAGAGGUGAAAUUCGUAGAUAUUCGGAAGAACACCAGUGGCGAAGGCGGCUCACUGGACUGGUAUUGACGCUGAGGUGCGAAAGCGUGGGGAGCAAACAGGAUUAGAUACCCCUGUAGUC